ensembl:misc_RNA Metazoa_SRP Metazoan signal recognition particle RNA
GCUGGGCAUGGUGGCAUAUGCCUGUAGUCCUAGCUGCUUGGGAGGCUGAGGCAGGAGGAUCACUUGAGCCUAGGAGUUUGAGGCUGCAGUGAGCUAUGAUUUUGCCGUUACACUCCACCCUAGGUGACAGAGUGAGACCCUGUCUCUA